rnacentral:rRNA from 1 species
CUCCUACGGGAGGCAGCAGUGGGGAAUCUUGGACAAUGGGGGAAACCCUGAUCCAGCCAUGCCGCGUGAGUGAUGAAGGCCCUAGGGUUGUAAAACUCUUUCGGCGGGGACGAUAAUGACGGUACCCGCAGAAGAAGCUCCGGCUAACUUCGUGCCAGCAGCCGCGGUAAUACGAAGGGGGCUAGCGUUGUUCGGAAUUACUGGGCGUAAAGCGCGCGCAGGCGGUGACUUAAGUGAGGUGUGAAAGCCCCGGGCUUAACCUGGGAAUUGCAUUUCAUACUGGGUCGCUAGAGUACUUUAGAGAGGGGUAGAAUUCCACGUGUAGCGGUGAAAUGCGUAGAGAUGUGGAGGAAUACCGAAGGCGAAGGCAGCCCCUUGGGAAUGUACUGACGCUCAUGUGCGAAAGCGUGGGGAGCAAACAGGAUUAGAUACCCUGGUAGUCCACGCUGUAAACGAUGUCGAUUUGGGGGUUGAACUAUAAGUUUGGCGCCCGUAGCUAACGUGAUAAAUCGACCGCCUGGGGAGUACGGCCGCAAGGUUAAAACUCAAAUGAAUUGACGGGGGCCCGCACAAGCGGUGGAGCAUGUGGUUUAAUUCGAUGCAACGCGAAGAACCUUACCUACUCUUGACAUCCAGAGAACUUUCCAGAGAUGGAUUGGUGCCUUCGGGAACUCUGAGACAGGUGCUGCAUGGCUGUCGUCAGCUCGUGUUGUGAAAUGUUGGGUUAAGUCCCGCAACGAGCGCAACCCUUAUCCU